rnacentral:lncRNA from 1 species
AUGUGCUUCUUUAAGUUUUGCAGGAGACAGAAAACAGGCACGUUUUGUUGGGGGGGAACCACCCGUUCUAGCAGACAGAUGCAACACCUUUCAGAGAACCCAGACACUACACACUCCACUGACUUCCUUGUCCAGCCUGUACCAGCAACACAUCAUAGAAGGCAUCACCACCCACAGUGGACAGGGCAGUUUGUGGUAAUAAUCGUGACCGGCGGCUUCUGUCUAGACUUGUCCAUGCAAACAGACAAGUUCCAGACAAGUGACUCCCCACCCUUAUCUCCCACAGUGAAGUUCGGUCAUUAUCUUCACCCUGGCACCAAAAUGAAAGCCUUGGCUGGUGAUGUUGUGCAGAGAGCAGCUGCUUAAAAUGGCGUCUCGGUGCUUCUGGUGUAGAGGAGGACCAGAGGGAGGACAUUAGGAAGUGAUGGACUGGACCUGCUUAAUGGACACUCCCUCUCUUAUUCUCUCUCUCUCUCUCGCUCUCUCUCUCUCUCUCUCUUCCUCUCCUUCUCCUUCCUCCCCGCCGCAGGCCUCAUACACACUCACAAAUCUCUUUUUAUUAGUGCCAUCAUUACUGUAAUGCUGUUGCUAAUAUUACCCUUGGUAAUGCUAACAACACUAUCGUAAAUGGAGUUAGCGUUCAUGAUUAGAAGUAUUCCGUUAAGGCUCCUGGGGCCACGCUCUUUUUCCCUGAGCUGGACCACGCUUCUCCACCACAGAGCCGAAGUGAAGGUCCUUACUGUGUUAUAGACGCGUUUCUCCAAAUCUAAAGUAGAAAUCUUUGCUGUUUUCUGUUUUAACCUGAGCCGCUCUCUUUCUAUGCUCUGUUAAUUCUCUCUCUCUCUCUCUUUCUUUCUACCUCGCCAAGUUUUUCUUACAGAAUGUCCCAGGAGGCUGCCAGAGCCUCCGCCGGCCAGUUCCAGCCAGCUUGAGAUUGGGGAACUGGCCAAAAGCCACCUGUUCAACAACAAAAAGGAGGCUAGAUAAGUUUUAGUGUAUGGUCCCUCUAGAGUCUGACCACAUUUUAUCUCAGCACAAUAGUUUAGACUCUGAAAAGUCUAUAAACCAUUAAGGGCAUAUUUCAUAUGUUUCUAUUGUGUUUUAUUUAUUUAUAUGUUUUCUUUGGCUCAUAAAUUCAACAAAUAUAUAUAUAGUCAACUAUAAUAUAUAUAGUGUAUGUAAAUCAUCUUUUGUUCUGAUUGGCUAUUGGUUAUGUUCUGAGCCUGAGCUAAAAGCCUGAAAAAAUAACCACUUCAAUUUCUGAAUCAGUUUUUCUGAUAACAUUGCUGUUUUAUUCUAUAAACUACAUACAACAUUUCUUCCAAAUUCCAAAUAAAAAUAUUGUUAUUUAGAGCA